rnacentral:rRNA from 1 species
UGGGGAACUUUGGACAAUGGGCGAAAGCCUGAUCCAGCAAUGCCGCGUGUGUGAAGAAGGCCUUCGGGUUGUAAAGCACUUUUGUCCGGAAAGAAAUCCUUGGCUCUAAUACAGUCGGGGGGAUGACGGUACCGGAAGGAUAAGCACCGGCUAACUACGUGCCAGCAGCCGCGGUAAUACGUAGGGUGCAAGCGUUAAUCGGAAUUACUGGGCGUAAAGCGUGCGCAGGCGGUUUGCUAAGACCGAUGUGAAAUCCCCGGGCUCAACCUGGGAACUGCAUUGGUGACUGGCAGGCUAGAGUAUGGCAGAGGGGGGUAGAAUUCCACGUGUAGCAGUGAAAUGCGUAGAGAUGUGGAGGAAUACCGAUGGCGAAGGCAGCCCCCUGGGCCAAUACUGACGCUCAUGCACGAAAGCGUGGGGAGCAAACAGGAUUAGAUACCCUGGUAGUCCACGCCCUAAACGAUGUCAACUAGUUGUUGGGGAUUCAUUUCCUUAGUAACGUAGCUAACGCGUGAAGUUGACCGCCUGGGGAGUACGGUCGCAAGAUUAAAACUCAAAGGAAUUGACGGGGUCAUAGCUGUUUCCU